AAAGAUAACUAGGAAACUGGGAGAGAAUUGACCCACUUAGAAGUGAAUUUUACAUUUUGAAGACUUCAGAGACAGUUAAUCACUUUUAAAUAGAAGAAAAGCAUGAGGUCACUGCACACAUUGCGUACAACAAGCUCUGCCCAGCCAGAACAUCCUAGGAGCAGCAAUCAGCACCCAGUCCGUCCUUGUCUGGAGCUGUGAGUAGACUCUCAAGAAGAAAUGGAGAAACCCAAUCUACAUUUAAAGGAUGAUGAGAAGCAGCAGCAUGAAACGCUGAGGAGAGGUGGCAGCUCAAAGGCUGGACAAUAUCACCGCAUGGGUUUGGCAAAGUCAGAGAGGAGGUGCCACAGGACACAUCUCGAAGGCUAUGAGGACUCUGGUAGCUCACCUUAUUCCAUCUUAGCUCCGACUGGCAACCAGGGAGAGCAUAGUCAUGUCUACAUUUCACUCUAAGCUCUACUACAAACAAAUAAAACAAUGCCUUUUUUGAAGCUUGCUGUGCCU
rnacentral:lncRNA from 1 species